rnacentral:rRNA from 1 species
UGGUCAAGUUAUUAAGGGUGCAGGGUGGAUGCCUUGGCACUAGGAGCCGAUGAAGGACGUGAUAAGCUGCGAUAAGCUUCGGGGAGUUGCACGUAAACUUUGAUCCGAAGAUUUCCGAAUGAGGAAACUCACUUAGAGUAAUGUCUAAGUAUCAUUAAGUGAAUACAUAGCUUAAUGAGGGGAACUCAGGGAACUGAAACAUCUAAGUACCUGAAGGAAGAGAAAGAAAUUCGAUUCCGUAAGUAGCGGCGAGCGAACGCGGAUUAGCCCAAACCAAUAAAGUUUUCUUUAUUGGGGUUGCGGACAUAUCAUAACGAAGAGGUAUCGUAAUUGAAGAGGUUUGGAAAGACCCACCACAGAAGGUAAUAGUCCUGUAUGUUAAACGAGAAGACUUCAGAUAUGAUCCAGAGUACCACGGGACACGUGAAACCCUGUGGGAAGCAGGAGGGACCACCCUCCAAGGCUAAAUACUACCUAGUGACCGAUAGCGUAUAGUACCGUGAGGGAAAGGUGAAAAGAACCCCGGGAGGGGAGUGAAAUAGAACCUGAAACCCUGCACUUACAAGCUGUGGAAGCACAUUUCUUGUGUGACCGCGUACUUUUUGUAGAACGGGCCAACGAGUUACGUUAAGUAGCAAGGUUAAGCACUUAAGGUGCGGAGCCGUAGCGAAAGCGAGUUUUAACUGAGCGUUCAGUUACUUGACGUAGACCCGAAACCGGGCGACCUACCCAUGAGCAGGAUGAAGCGAAAGUAAAAUUUCGUGGAGGUCCGAACCCACGAGCGUUGAAAAGCUCGGGGAUGACUUGUGGGUAGCGGUGAAAUUCCAAUCGAGCCCGGAGAUAGCUGGUUCUCCCCGAAAUAGCUUUAGGGCUAGCCUCAAGGUGAGAGAUACGGAGGUAGAGCACUGAAUGUCCUAGGGGGUAUUGCACCUACCGAAGACUAUCAAACUCCGAAUGCCGUCAUCUUAUACUUGGGAGUCAGACUGUGGGUGAUAAGAUUCAUAGUCGAAAGGGCAACAGCCCAGAUCGUCAGCUAAGGUCCCUAAAUGUAAGUUAAGUGGUAAAGGAUGUGGGAUUGCACAGACAACCAGGAUGUUGGCUUAGAAGCAGCCACUCAUUCAAAGAGUGCGUAAUAGCUCACUGGUCGAGUGAUCCUGCGCCGAAGAUUUCCGGGGCUAAAACUUACUACCGAAGCUACGGCAUCAGUAAUGAUGGGUAGGGGAGCUUCCCAUACGGGUUGAAGCAUGACCGUAAGGACAUGUGGACAGUAUGGAGUGAGAAUGUUGGCAUGAGUAGCGAGAUGUGGGUGAGAAUCCCACA